rnacentral:rRNA from 1 species
GACGAACGCUGGCGGCGUGCCUAAUACAUGCAAGUCGAACGCAGUGGGGAUGGGUGAGUAACACGUGGGUAACCUCCCAUCAGAGGGGAUAACACUUGGAUACAGGUGCUAAACCGCUACUGAUGGAUGGACCCGCGGUGCAUUGGCUUGGUGGUGGGGUAACGGCUCACCAAGGCCACGAUGCAUAGCCGACCUGAGAUGGGGAUCGGCCACACUGGGACUUAGACACGGCCCAGACUCCUACGGGAGGCAGCAGUAGGGAAUCUUCUGCAAUGGACGAAAGUCUGACCGAGCAACGCCGCGUGAGUGAAGAAGGUUUUCGGAUUGUAAAGCUCUGUUGUUAGAGAAGCGGUAUCUAAAGAGAAAGCCACGGCUAACUACGUGCCAGCAGCCGCGGUAAUUC